UGCGUAGGCGGUCGGGUAAGUCUGAUGUGAAAUCUCCGAGCUUAACUCGGAAAAUGCAUUGGAUACUAUUCGGCUCGAGAGUUGGAGGGGGGACUGGAAUACUUGGUGUAGCAGUGAAAUGCGUAGAUAUCAAGUGGAACACCAGUGGCGAAGGCGAGUCCCUGGACAACUUCUGACGCUGAGGCACGAAAGCUGGGAGGCAAAACCA
rnacentral:rRNA from 1 species